rnacentral:lncRNA from 1 species
AGAGAUAAACCUUCGGCCCAAUGCCUGGAUACCAGGAGCCCUGAGGCAAGUCCUGUUUACAUCCAUCACUGACAGCAGGGGGUAUUCAUGACUGAACCCUGUCACAAGGAACGAUCAGCGGGCCUUGGGGACAAGAUGUAGCAGAAGAAAAAAGAAGAACCUGUAACCAAAGCCUUUGACUUCAUUUGGAAAAUGUGGUCUUAAAACAUGGACCUGUUAACCUGAAAAUACCCGGUUGCGAUCUGAAUGUGUGUGUCAGCUCCUGUCUCCUCCCUGGGCCCAGGCGAGCCCAGCGCAGACUGAGGCUGAGAUGACCAUCUUCUUGCUGUGUCCCCACGUGGUCUUUCCUCUGUGCACACGUGCUCCUGUUGUACCUUCUUAUGAGGACAUCUGCCCUACCGGAUUAGGGUCCCACUCUAAGG